AGUGAACGCUGGCGGUAGGCCUAACACAUGCAAGUCGAACGGCAGCACAGAGGAGCUUGCUCCUUGGGUGGCGAGUGGCGGACGGGUGAGGAAUACAUCGGAAUCUACUCUGUCGUGGGGGAUAACGUAGGGAAACUUACGCUAAUACCGCAUACGACCUACGGGUGAAAGCAGGGGAUCUUCGGACCUUGCGCGAUUGAAUGAGCCGAUGUCGGAUUGGCUAGUUGGCGGGGUAAAGGCCCACCAAGGCGACGAUCCGUAGCUGGUCUGAGAGGAUGAUCAGCCACACUGGAACGGAGACACGGUCCAGACUCCUACGGGAGGCAGCAGUGGGGAAUAUUGGACAAUGGGCGCAAGCCUGAUCCAGCCAUACCGCGUGGGUGAAGAAGGCCUUCGGGUUGUAAAGCCCUUUUGUUGGGAAAGAAAUCCAGCUGGUUAAUACCCGGGUGGGAUGACGGUACCCAAAGAAUAAGCACCGGCUAACUUCGUGCCAGCCGCCGCCGUAA
rnacentral:rRNA from 1 species